rnacentral:rRNA from 1 species
AAACGUAGGAUCCGAGCGUUAUCCGAAUUCACUGGGCGUAAAGCGCAUGCAGGCGGCCGCACAAGUUGGAUGUGAAAUCUCCCGGCUCAACUGGGAGGGGACGUUCAAAACUGUGCGGCUCGAGGGCGGUAGAGGAAGGUAGAAUUCCCGGUGUAGUGGUGAAAUGCGUAGAUAUCGGGAGGAAUACCCGUGGCGAAGGCGACCUUCUGGACCGUUUCUGACGCUCAGAUGCGAAAGCUAGGGGAGCGAACGGGAUUAGAAACCCCGGUAGUCCUAGCCGUAAACGAUGUCGACUGGGCGUGGGUGGGGUAAAAGCCAUCCGUGCCGAAGCUAACGCGUGAAGUCGACCGCCUGGGGACUACGGCCGCAAGGUUAAA